rnacentral:rRNA from 1 species
GAUGAACGCUGGCGGCGUGCCUAAUACAUGCAAGUCGAGCGAACAGACGAGGAGCUUGCUCCUCUGACGUUAGCGGCGGACGGGUGAGUAACACGUGGAUAACCUACCUAUAAGACUGGGAUAACUUCGGGAAACCGGAGCUAAUACCGGAUAAUAUAUUGAACCGCAUGGUUCAAUAGUGAAAGACGGUUUUGCUGUCACUUAUAGAUGGAUCCGCGCCGCAUUAGCUAGUUGGUAAGGUAACGGCUUACCAAGGCAACGAUGCGUAGCCGACCUGAGAGGGUGAUCGGCCACACUGGAACUGAGACACGGUCCAGACUCCUACGGGAGGCAGCAGUAGGGAAUCUUCCGCAAUGGGCGAAAGCCUGACGGAGCAACGCUGCGUGAGUGAUGAAGGUCUUCGGAUCGUAAAACUCUGUUAUUAGGGAAGAACAAAUAUGUAAGUAACUAUGCACGUCUUGACGGUACCUAAUCAGAAAGCCACGGCUAACUACGUG